UACGGGGGGAGCAAGCGUUGUUCGGAUUUACUGGGCGUAAAGGGCGCGUAGGCGGUCAGCACAAGUCAGUUGUGAAAUCUCCGGGCUUAACUCGGAAAGGUCAACUGAUACUGUGCGACUAGAGUGCGGAAGGGGCAACUGGAAUUCUCGGUGUAGCGGUGAAAUGCGUAGAGAUCCGGAAGAACACCAAAGGCGAAGGCACCAUCCUGGGGAGUCACUGACGCUCGGGUGCGAAAGCCAGGGGAGCGAACGGG
rnacentral:rRNA from 1 species